rnacentral:lncRNA from 1 species
AGGGUUCGGAAAGGUUCGGAAGGGUUCGGAAGGGUUCGGAGGGGUUCGGGAGGGGCUCGGGGAGGGUUCGGAAAGGUUCGGAAGGGUUCGGGGAGGGGUUCGGAAAGCUUCGGCUCUUUCCGGAGCCGCUCGGCCCCGGCGCAGUGCGGCGGAGGCGGCAGGGGGCGGGGUCAGGGAGUGGCCACGCCCCCUCCUCCUCACGGCCGGUCCCAAAAUGGCGGCGAUUCGACCCAAAAUGGCCAAAACCGACCUAAAUCAGCCAAAAUCCGCCCUAAUUCAGCCAAAUUAGGCCUUAAAUCCACCAAAUUCGCACUCACGUCGCUUGAUUUCGCCCUGCAUCCUUUCAAAUCUCAUCUAAAGCCUCACAAUUUCCACCCAAAAUGUCCCAUUUUCACACAAUUUUGACCAAAUUCCACCUAAAUCACCCCAAAAUGUACAAUUUCCACAUGAAUUCCACCUAAAUCACCCCAAAAUCACCCCAAAACGUCCAAUUUCCACACAAAUUCCACCUAAAUCCCCCACAAACCUCCCAUUUCGACAGAAAUUCCACCAAAUUCCAACUAAAUCCCCCCAAAACCUCUAAUUCCCACACAAAUUCCUCACAAAUUCCACCUAAAUCCCCCCCAAAAUCCCCAAUUUCCACAUGAAUUCCACCUAAAUCCCCCCCAAACCUCCAAUUUCCACACUAAUUCCACACAAAUCCCCCCCAAAAUCUCCAAUUUCCUCAUAAAUUCUACCUAAAUCCCCCCAAAAUGUCCAAUUUCCACACAAAUUCCACCAAACUCCACCUAAAUUCCCCCCAAAAUCCCCAAUUUCCACACGAAUUCCACCUAAAUCCCCCCAAACCUCCCAUUUCCACACAAAUUCCACAUGAAUUCCACCAAAAUCCUCCCCAAAAUCCCCAAUUUCCACAAGAAUUCCACCUAAAUCACCCCAAAAUCUCCAAUUUUCACACUAAUUCCACACAAACCCCCCCAAAAAAUCUCCAAUUUCCUCAUAAAUUCUACCUAAAUCCCCCCCAAAAUCUCCAAUUUCCACACAAAUUCCACACCAAAUUCCACCUAAAUCACCCCAAAAUGUACAAUUUCCACAUGAAUUCCACCUAA